rnacentral:lncRNA from 1 species
GUAACCAGUGAGUUUGUCCCUCAAUUUUUUAUUUUUUAUUGAUAUGGUGAUCGAUUGCGGUUUUAUAUUUGGACAAUUAAUUGUUAUAAGAAGUGCAUGAAGGACAACAGUUUAUAAUAGUAAACCUUUUCUUAUUGUAUAACUCUUAUUUAUAUGGUAAGAGUAGAGCUUGACUAACGUUUUCUUAAUUAUAGUUUAUAGGCA